UUUUGUCGCAAGAAGGGUCAUCUUCACACAAUCCCAUGUAAUGAACAAGAAUGGGAUAAAGAGUUGGCUUACAAUCGCCACUUCACACAAUACAUAAUAAAAUCAUACAUCAUUCAAGAUACACACACAGGUCCGACUACGGAACCAAAAGAAAAGAAGACAACCCAACUGUUAGAUCCCUGAUCGUCCCAACUAGGCUCCACUACUGAUCAACAUGAAAAGAAACAACACAACGAACAAGAUCUUCAUCGAGCUCCCACUUGAGCUCAGUUGCGUCACCUACACUGGUAUCAUCGGCACCUGCAACUGUUUUGGAAGUAUCUAUGAGUCACGAGGACUCAGCAAUCUCACACCCGCGAGAUCAAGACUAUUUAAGCUUAUAGGAAAGGAUGGUGUAAUGAGGUGGAGCUGCAGCAGGCACUAAGCAUAUAUGGUGGCUAACAUACGCAAAUAAGAGCGAGAAGAGAAGCAACGGAAUGGUCGUGAACUAGCAAUGAUCAAGAAGUGAUCCUGAACCUCUACUUACGUCAAACAUAACCCAGAAACCGUGUUCACUUCUCGUACUCCGCCUAGAAGAGACCAUCAUGGAUACACACGCGGUUGAUGCGUUUUAAUUAGGGUCAAGUGUCAAGUUCUCUACAACCGGAUAUUAACAAAUUCCCAUCUGCCACAUAACCGCGGGCACGGCUUUCGAAAGAUAAUACCCUGCAGGGGUGUCCCAACUUAGCCCAUCAUAAGCUCUCACGGUCAACGAAGGAUAAACCUUCUCCCAGGAAGACCCGAUCAGUCUCGGAAUCCCGGUUUACAAGACAUUUUGACAAUGGUAAAACAAAACCAGCAAAGCCGCCCGAUGUGCCGAUAAAUCCCGAUAGGAGCUGCACAUAUCUCGUUCUCAGGGCAACACCGGAUGAGACAUCCUACGAGUAAAACCAGACCUCGAGUUUCCACGAGGGGGCCUCGCGGUCUACUCAGUUCGGACCAACACUCGAAGGAGCACUGGCCCGGGGGGGUUAAAAUAAGAUGACCCUUGAGUCUGCAGAACCCAAGGGAAAAGGGGAUAGGUGGUAGCAAAUGGUAAAACCAAGGUUGGGCCUUGCUGGAGGAGUUUUAUUCAAAGCGAACUGUCAAGGGGGUCCCAUAAAUCACCCAACCGCGUAAGGAACGCAAAAUCAAGGAACAUAACACCGGUAUGACGGAAACUAGGGCGGCAAGAGUGGACUAAACACCAGGCAUAAGGCUGAGCCUUCCACCCUUUACCAAGUAUAUAGAUGCAUUAAUUAAAUAAGAGAUAUUGUGAUAUCCCAACAUAUCCAUGUUCCAACAUGGAACAAACUUCAACUUCACCUGCAACUAACAACGCUAUAAGAGGGGCUGAGCAAAAGCGGUAACAUAGCCAAACAACGGUUUGCUAGGAAGGGUGACAAAGGUUAGAGGUGGUUUCAUGGCAAUUUGGGAGGCAUGAUAUAGCAAGUGGUAGGUAGCGCAGCAUAGCAAUAGAGCGAACAACUAGCAAGCAAAGAUAGAAGUGAUUUCGAGGGUAUGGUCAUCUUGCCUGAGAUCCCGCUAGGAAGAAGAACGAGUCCAUGAAGAAGACAAACGGACGUAGUCGAACGAAUCCUCACAACUCCAGAUCGAAACCGAAGCUAACGAGAGAAGAAACCCGGAAAGAAACAAAUAACAUAGUAAACAACCAUCACAUACACAUGGCAUGAUGCGCAAACAAGUAUGAUGCAUGUCCGGUUUAAUGAGGCAUGGCAUGGCAAUAUGCAUCAAACAAUACUACAACUUAAGUGGAGCUCAAUAUGCAACGAGUUGCAUAUUGACGAAACACCACAUCAAUUAUUUAGUUCUCUCUCGGUUAUGUACCCAACAAUAUUAAAUGUUGUUAAACAUGGCAAGAGGUGAAGCAUAAGUAAGCUAACUAUUUAGGCAAGUUUAACUGAGGCCGGAACAACAAACAACAAUUCCGGAAAAUCCUCAUAUGCAUAUUUUGAAUUUGGUACUGUUCUGCCCUAAACACAAUUUUAAUGUUGUUAAACAGCAAAAUGAAGUGCGGCAAGUUAAUCUAUGCAUUUUUCUACCCCAUUUGCAUUUAAAGUUUAUUAAAAUCCAAGCUACGAUUAUUUAGUUAUGGAAUAAAUCAUUUUAACAUGUCAUUUAAACAAAUUUAAACAAACAGCAUUUUUAAACAUUUUAACAUGGGAUGAAAGUGGCAUAAUGUGAAACUAGAUAAAAUUCUAAGCACUUUUCAUAUAUAAAUUAUUUACAUAAGAUGCACGAUUGUGGAGUUAUUAAAUGGAUGAAGUUUAGGGGUUUUUCUGUAAAACUGUAAAACCUGGGAUAAAUAGCAAAAAUCGCAGACAGGAAAGAAACUACACUAGACCGAAACUGACUGGCCCAACAGAAGGAGAAAAAAACAGAGGCGGGGCGCUGGGUGUAGCCUCACCCAGUGGGCCUUGACCCGGUCGAUGCAGAGGCUGGAGGAGGCCGGUUCCUGGGCAGGCUAGGCACGCAGCUGGAUCGAGCGAGAUGGGAAGGCGCGGGUCAACGCAGGGCGGCGCGCUCGUCCUCGAAGCAGAGGAAGAAGGGGCGCGACAGCAGGUUGAGGCAGGGGAGGCUGGCGAUGAGGGCUUUGGCGGAGGCAGCGGCGAGGAGAAGGACUCCGGCGAGGGUGAAGCUCCUCCCGUGGACGCAUCAGAGAGAGAGGGAGACGUGUCAGAGAUAGAAGGUGAAGGGGAAGGAAGAAACAGGGGCACGGGCGCGGCUUGGCUCACCGGACCUUCGCCAUAGGCGUGCGGGCACGGCGGCGCUGCCAGAGGAGAUGCCGGCGACGGGGAGGGGCUGGACGAGGAGGAGGGCGCAGCCUCAGACGCUCGCGGGUACAGGGGCGCGCGAAGCAGUUCCUACUGGAGCUCGACGUCGAGGUUGCCGGGGCGG
rnacentral:lncRNA from 1 species